GUGCCAGCAGCCGCGGUAAGACAGAGGUGCCAAGCGUUAGGCGGAAUCACUGGGCUUAAAGCGUGUGUAGGCGGAUCGUUAAGUACCUUGUGAAAUCCCACGGCUUAACCGUGGAACUGCUCGGUAUACUGGCGGUCUUGAGCAACCUAGGGGCGAGCGGAACAAAUGGUGGAGCGGUGAAAUGCGUAGGUAUCAUUUGGAACGCCAAUGGUGAAAACAACUCGCUGGGAAUGAUCUGACGCUGAGACACGAAAGCCAGGGGAGCGAACGGGAUUAGAACCCUAGUAGUCC
rnacentral:rRNA from 1 species